GGAUUAGAAACCCUGGUAGUCCACGCCGUAAACGAUGUGUGCUAGUUGUCGGGGCCUUUAGGUCUCGGUGACGCAGCUAACGCUUUAAGCACACCGCCUGGGGAGUACGGUCGCAAGAUUAAAACUCAAAGGAAUUGACGGGGACCCGCACAAGCGGUGGAGCAUGUUCUUUAAUUCGAAGCAACGCGAAGAACCUUACCUACACUUGACAUGCCUCUUUUGGUUUUCAGAGAUGAUUACCUUCGGUUCGGCCGGGGAGUGCACAGGUGCUGCAUGGCUGUCGUCAGCUCGUGUCGUGAGAUGUGGUUAAGUCCGCAACGAGCGCAACCC
rnacentral:rRNA from 1 species